GAUGAACGCUGGCGGCGUGCCUAACACAUGCAAGUCGAGCGAGAAGUCUUGGAACGAAGCUUCGGUAGAGUGAAGAGAUGGAAAGCGGCGGACGGGUGAGUAACGCGUAGGCAACCUGCCCCAUACAGAGGGACAGCCUUGGGAAACCGGGAUUAAUACCUCAUAACGCAUACAGUCUGCCUGGACAGUAUGCCAAAGAUUUAUCGGUAUGGGAUGGGCCUGCGUCUGAUUAGCUGGUUGGCGGGGUAACGGCCCACCAAGGCAACGAUCAGUAGCCGACCUGAGAGGGUGAUCGGCCACAUUGGAACUGAGACACGGUCCAAACUCCUACGGGAGGCAGCAGUGGGGAAUAUUGCACAAUGGGCGCAAGCCUGAUGCAGCAACGCCGCGUGAGCGAAGAAGGCCUUUGGGUCGUAAAGCUCUGCCCUUGGGGAAGAAACAAAUGACGGUACCCUUGGAGGAAGCCCCGGCUAACUACGUGCCAGCAGCCGCGGUAAUACGUAGGGGGCGAGCGUUAUCCGGAAUCAUUGGGCGUAAAGAGUGCGUAGGCGGCUUUGUAAGCGUGGGGUGAAAGGCAGCGGCUCAACCGUUGUAAGCCCCGCGAACUGCAUGGCUUGAGUGCAGGAGAGGAAAGCGGAAUUCCUAGUGUAGCGGUGAAAUGCGUAGAUAUUAGGAGGAACACCAGUGGCGAAGGCGGCUUUCUGGACUGUAACUGACGCUGAGGCACGAAAGCGUGGGGAGCGAACAGGAUUAGAUACCCUGGUAGUCCACGCCGUAAACGAUGAGCACUAGGUGUCGGGGCCGCAAGGU
rnacentral:rRNA from 2 species